AGGGAUGCUGCAUUUUAAUGAUAGCACAGACUGAGGCUGCAGUAGACAGAGCAAUGAGAGAGGUUAAAAUAAAAAGGGAGGAGCAGUGCAGAGCACGACAGGAUUCCCACACAGAUUGUCACAAGUGUGUACGUGGAACAACAAGCAGUGGAGUUUAAAGACAAGAGGAAUGAAACAGGUUUGCAUUGGAGAACACAACAAGUGACUAGAGUUUUCACCUGUAGAAGGAGGAGAAAAUAAGCCACUUGUAAUCAAACUAAGCUGAUUGGCAAAAACAUGGGCAUGGAAAUUAAACAAGUACAAACUUCUGUCGUUAUUAGAUAAAAAGUGGCUCUCUUUCCAUUUCGUCUUUCUGCUUGACUGUCUAUCCACAGGCUGUCCUUCUGUUAGUCUCAGCAGGAUGUGAGGGCAUCACUCUGGUGCUUGAGAUAAAGAAGAAAUACUGAAGGAAUCCUGACGGGUUGUUGGAGAAACGAGGCAUUGCCAAAAAAAAAAAAAAAAAAAAAAAAAGAAGACAAGAGGAACAUUAGCUAGCUUCUGGAAGGAAAAGGGAGGAGAGAGGGGGCAGUAUGACUCAGACCACAGCAGCGAGAAUACUGUGUAUUCUGCAUGCAAGAAGAGAGGUUGAGUGAGAUAGAGGAACAAUGAGGGAAAAUAUGGGGGGAAAAAAAGGAGGACUUGACCAGAACUGAGCUGUCAUUUGACAGAUGAAGGACAGGGUGAGGACAGAAGCUGCCACACUGGCAGGCAGUGAGUAAGAUAUAGGUCAAGUGAAUCAGCUUGGUAGAUGAAAAAGAAAGUAAGAAGAGGGUGAGUUUUAUAAAGUUAAGUAUUUCAUAUGACUGAAGCUGGCUGAGGGAAGGUUGAAUGAAGGUUUGCUGCCGGGCGGACAGUGGACGAGGAGCUGCAAAGGUCAGAAUGGCUGGCUUGAUGAACAAUUGAUGGAGCUCAUACAUGUGAGAAAGUCCGGACUGUGUCACAGGGAUGGAGCAUGACUGAGGUUUGCAUGUGGGAGAAGAAACUUCAAGAAGGCUGGACAAAGGAGACAAAGAGAAAUGGUAGAGUAGAAAGGUUAAAAAGAAACCAAAAUUGGAAUGUAGGUGUAUGAAUGAAAUAGAUCAGAAUGAAUUUUUAAAUCUCAGGAAGAAAUCCAAGAAAUAGUUAAACAUAGUUAAAAAAAAAAAAAACAAAACAAAAAAAAACAACUGCAGAGAAUCAACACAGUAUUAUGGAGAAAUGGAAGGCAUAAUCGUGACAGAAACAUACCAAGAGGUUCUUGCUAAAUAUUAAUGCUGACAGCCCAUUCUGGAAAGAACUUUUCCCUCCUUCUACUGAGGGGAAAACUGGAAAUGCGCAGCUGAUUCUCUAUUCUAGCGGAUAUUUUACAGCGGAGAGGACAAAGGAUCGUUCAACUGGGAGGGACAUGCAUACUUUGUUUUUGCUUCCAUAACUUGAUGAAGUCACGAUGGCUUCUAAUGUCACAAAGACAUCAAGUUAGAAGCUGCUUUAUUCCUAACUUAGACCAACAAUUCCUCAAAGCAAUAACGGGGGACGACAAUCCAGCUGCAGAAUAGACCAGCUGUGUGUUCAUGCAGGGCAGCGUAGGGAGGGGGUGUGAGUACUGUCGAGGAUGUCAACCGUGUUUGCGCGUGUGCUUGUGUGGGUAUAGAUGUGCAUGUGUGUUUGCGUCGAGCUUUGAACGCAGUAGUGUCUGAGUAAAUUAUCAUAGAGACACCCAGCGCGCUGUGUGUCGCCUGGAUUCCCCCCUCCACCAGCGACAGAGCUGGACCUGAACAGCAGUGGUAAGACGGGGGACAGGGGGGGGGAAGAGGAGGAAAAGGAGAAAGAGGUGAAAGAAACCAGAAGGAAAAAGGAGAAGAAAAUACUUAAAACAUGCUUGGAUAAAGAGAAGAAAAAAGGAGUCUUUGGCUGCCCCCCUGAUGCGAUGUGUGGCGUCGUGCCCUGCGGGGGUGGGGUUCUGUGAUGGUAACCAUGGUCCCCGGCAGCCGCUAUGUAUGCAGCGCUCAUGCGAGAGAAGAUGACUCUACCAAUGACCGUGAGGAGCGAAUUUUAGCUGUCCUGGGUAUCAUUGGAACCAUCCUCAAUCUUUUGGUGGUCAUAUUUGUCUACAUCUACACCUCCGUCACCUAAGGUUUUCUACAAGUCUCAAGUAGUGAACUUCUCCUCUGACUGCCACCUUUCCUUUUUAAGGAUUUAUAUACUUAAAGUGCUUUGAUUAUUUACAAAAAGCACUGAAUUGUGAUGAUCACUAAUAGCGCAUUUGACUGAACAAUGGUGACAUUUAUCUACACCCGCAUUACUGCCACUCUGUUACCUAAAAAGUAGAACAGAAGCACAAGUGGAAUCAUCUGAAUUUCCAGCACUACUCAGUAAACAGUAUCUUUCCAUUUUUCCACUUGUAAAAUUAAGUUAUAUUGUUAUUCAUAUUGAUGCAGCCGAUAUAGAACACAUAACGCUCCUUAAUAUGAUAGUGGCCAUAUUUGACUGUGUUGCAUCCUCAAUUGUUUCAACUUUGUGAUUGUGCAUAAUUUCAGCUUUAUUUGAGCUAAUUUUACUGCCAAUUAAAUUGAUCAAAGUGGUUGAACAAACAACAAACUUUGGAGCCAACUGGAGUAAAUUUGCUAAGUACAAUACUAAAUCCAUAACACUGGACCAAAAGAGCUAAGUAACUUAGCACAGUCGACAACAAUGAGACCUUUAGGUCUAAUGACUGCCUUAAAAACUUGAAGAAAUACAAAUAAUCAAUGUAAAGUAUUAAUUUUUGUUUUUAGUAGAAUUUCUCAUUUGUUCUGUUUUUACAUGGAACUAACGUGUCCACAGCUGAGCACUCCAGAGGAGAGAUUCCUGGCUGUGCUAGGAGUCAUCGGCAUUGUACUUAACCUCCUGCUGCUUGUCUUCGUCUAUAUAUACACCUCCAUCUGAUGGAGCUACAUCUUCAAAUCUGAGUCCUUCUUCACUUGGGAAGUUAUCAGAUAAUUACCAGCUCUAUAUAACUGCCCAUUGUACUAAUCAUCGUCUCAAACUACAUGGUUUGCUACUUGUACAUAUGGGCACAUUCUUUUAGUAAUAGACAGUUUAUAUUAAGCUUACACUGUGAGGUAAACUGAGAUGGCACCUGUGCUUGAUAUCAUGGUAGUAAUGUGAAGAUGGCUGAUGAGCGAGUUUGAAGAUAAAAGUCAAUGAGCUUAAGAUGAUACACACUUUCCAUAAUGCACUUCUCUGUAUAAAUUUAUGACAUAUUAUUAAUGGUUUUAUAACAUGCUCCAGUAUUCCAUGUGAUCUAAGGCUUGUACCACUUAAGUGAAAAGAACUACAUAUUGAACAAAAUAACUCAAGUAAAUGCUGUGAUAUUUGUUGGGAUCAUGUUUGUUCUCCAUGCUUGAUACUGAAAACACAGGAACAUGAAGCUGGAUGGAUCUGUUAGUUCAGCCUGUGCAGAAUCUCUGUACAACAGCAAAGAUCUAUCUGUGUAUGCUUGCUGCUGUGGAGUAAUGGCGUAUUUUCUGGUGUCAUGUUUCUUUGAUUGGAUGUGGGAGCCAGGCACAGAGCAGCGUCAGAGAAAGCAAAGCUUAAAACUGAGACAAUAUCAUGCAGAUCGAGACGGUGCAUUUUGCACAAGCAAGCCAAACAGCUGUGACAAAGCGAUCAAAGAGGAACGGUGUGCAUCGUCAGUAAAAGCAGGACAGAAAAACUUUCUGAAGAGCCACGCCAUCUGGCUCGAAAAUCACAAGGGUGCAAAGAGCUCCCUGCAGUUUGAUUACAACAUGUCCACUGAAGCGACAUGCCAAUAUGGAUACGAUUUUAGGUUUAAGCACUCUAUCUUUAUUGGAGGAGCAAAUCCACACACAGCUGACAUGCGAGCAGGAAGGACUGGGCUAAAUCUGCACCUUAUUCUCGUCAUUCUCUUCUCCACCAACAAGCUAACACCAGAGAAGACAUAGUAGCAUAUACGUCUCUGCUGCCAUUUUACAUACUGUAACACAGGGACAGCUUCAAAACAAGAAAGCAGAAACACUGACUGCUCACUUAUUCUUCUCAACUUUACAUGUUGGCUUGUGUGGAAAAGUGUUUUGAUAAUUAUUGUAUUUCAAUUCUUGCUAGCUUGUGUAUGUCAUGCUCUUUAGUUUUCGUAAGAAUUUCUUCUUGGAUUUUUGGUUUGCAAACAAACACAAAAAGCCACAAACACUGCUUUGGAAAAUAUUUGGUUAAUCUCAGUUUCUCUGUUUUUAUUUUUUAUAAAUGGUGACAGCUCAGGCAAGUACAACCAUGUCUGUGGAAUAAUGUGUUUAUUAGUGGCCGGCUUUGCCUGUGUUAAGAUUUACAAAGAAUAUUGGUUGUUUAGAUGGGUUUGAAAACAGCAAGGAUUAUUAAUCCAUUUUAGAAAUUUGCAUUUCCCUUACACUCUUAAAUUACUUGCAGAAGAACACUUUCACCCUACCACCCUCAGGAAAAUACUCACAGAUUAACUGGAUUUGCAUUUCCUUAAUCCAUCACCACAUGUUGAUUUAAUCCCAUGUAACAAAAGACUUGUUCACAAUCUGUUUAUCUUCCUGUUCAAUAUGAAACCACUUCUCCCUUCAUUUUCCAAAAAAAUGUGUCCUUCCUAGAAAUAAAACUUAAAUUAGUCCCUGCAAUGAAAGGAUGCAAAUGCUCACACACUGGCUACUUGUAUCUUCUAUCAAGAGUUUAAUUUGAUGCCAUAUUUCAAGACACAUCAUGCCCCUUUUUCUUUCCAGUCACACUUAAUUGAAUUUAUAGAAAAUUCUUGAAAUAAUUUCAAGAUUGUAACAAGCUCAUUGAACCACUUUUCAUGUUUCAGACACCUGCGACUGUCUUACAGUGAUCCAUCCAGAAGUACUUUGGUUUACAAAUACAGGGUGAAAAUUUUAGAUGUUUUUCUUUUUAAAAAAUAAAAUAAAAUAAAUACUGCCUUGAGAUGUUAGCAAAGCACAGUUAGGAAGCUGUUACCCAUUUAUUAAUUUCUCUUUGGGUCAACCAGAAAAAUAUUUUUGGUGAAAUCAAAGAUAUGUUUUCCAAGAGUGACCUUACCAAUAAGGCAGCAUUUAGGUAAAGGGAAAAGUUUUAAUGUUGUUUCUUAUUAUUAACCAUUUGCUCGUUUUAUUUGUUUUAUUGAUUAUGACAAAAAAUAUGUUAAAAGUUGAUUAACUGUAUAAACAUGCUUGAAAGUUAAUUUAAUUAGUUAAUCUAAAAAUAAGAACAAAGUGUCACCACAACAGUUUUCAGUUUAACUAAGUUUUUAUCUUUACAGGACAUAAAGUGGUAAAUUCACUGACUUCCCUCCUACACACAAAUCCUUGUUUGGAAUCUAACCUUUUUAUGUAAUCAUGUAUUAUGCAAAUAACUGGACUGACACACAAAAAGAUGUAAAGUAGUUAUUUGCCAAUAGUUAAUUACUGUUCCAAUAUGGAACUGCUUUUAGCUCCCCAUGCAAAAAUGAAAUUGUUUUUCAAGAAAACCAAGAGGCUGAUGGACACAGCCAUUGUUAGAUUAUACACCAUAUAUACUUUAUUAAAUGAAAAACAUCAAUUUAAAAAAAAAAGUAUUGAAGUAUUAAAUAUACACACACAUAUACACCCCUCCUUGGCCAUAAUAAAUCCCUUUACCUGCAUAUGUGGCAGCAUAGCUCCAUCCAGAGGAAAAGGAUGUGAAAGAUGCUGGCAGACUUUUUUUUUAAAAGAAAAAUCUCUGUUAGUGUUACCCAUCACUUUGUAUUCAUUCCUAGAAAACAGGACCAGCAAUUCAAAAACAGGUUUCAAAAGGAGAAAAUGUUUUGUAUGACUUUGAUUUACUGACAGAAGCUGCUGCUGAUCAAGCAAACUCUAGAUUCAGGAUGUCAAAUGUCAGAAAAUGACUAAUCAUUGUUCAUGUUUGCUUCUAUCUGUAGGCAACAAAACUUAUUCUGUCAU